AACCUACAUACACCAUAGGCUCUUUGACGGGCGCGGCUAGUGAUGAGAUUAUAUCCUGUAUGUCGCUGCAUGACAAAAUGACUCAACGAGAGGAUCACUGUUAUGGUUGGCGAUAAGAGCAUGUGAUGGAAUCCAAUUUCUAGGUGUGCAUGCUUUGGUUCUACGUUCUGCACAUCAGCAAUGGACAGGAGCAGCCUAUGAUGGAAUCCAAAGAAAAAUCCUCAAAACAAUUGUACGUCCAAGCCAUGCUAUCGUCUCAUUUGAGGAGAAAAACUGCUUUGAAAACUGAGACCACUCAAGAUGGUAUGAGAUGUUUCACUUCCCAUGCUUAUUAUUCUAUUUUCUCCGUGUUCUAAUUAGUGGCAGUUUCGUUUUUUCCUUUUUUUACCGAAUGUAUAUACAUUAUAAAACAAUCUAUAGCCCGAGAAAGCAAUAGCAUCGGAGACCAAGCGGUCUGGAUGUCAGUGGAGUGAGAGAACAUGGGAUUUUUCAGGGCAGCGUUGUCGGACGCGUUGUUUCGCAAGCCACGCCUAUCGCCAUCCAGUUCAACAGACCAGCAAAAUCAGGACUUCAUACAUGCACUUGAGGUAUGCAAUCUUACAUGCACUUCUGCAAGUAUGUAUGUAUGCAUGGACCGAAGUACAUAUAAAUUUUAACGUAUGCAAUCAUACAUGCACUUCUGCAAGCAUGUAUGUAUGCAUGGACCGAAGUAUAUGUAUAGGUUGAUCUGUGAAGGAUAGGCUACAAUAGGUACAUUUAAAAAAAAUACAGUACAAUUUACAGAUUAAAUUAUCACAAUCUUUCCUUCAAACUAAAAAUCUCUAUAAUCUACUUUCGUAGUACUUCUCCUUCCACAAAGAAUUGUCUAAAUCAAAAAUCCAAGUAUGGAAAGUAGUAUUUGAACAUGAUAUGUUCUCCUUUGGACUUGGUAUGAUUAAAAGGUACGUAUCUGAUCUACCGCAAGUUAUUUCCUCUUCUCAUCUCGAAUGUUGAACCUUGCAGAAUUCUUAUGUAGUCUUCUACGAUGCUACCCCAUACAAUUGAUUCGCUAGCAUGAUCAUAACCGGACCUUCUAUGACUUUGACGUACAAGGAGAAAAAGUUGUACGAAAAGACACACAAGCAGUUGUUUCAGGCAUCCUGUUCUAAUCCCCUGUCAUAGUCAAUGUGCAUCAAGUCAUGUGUUAGAGUCUAUAAGGAGCCUCUCCAAUUGCAUACACUAUAUUUGACCGGGAGAGUGUUACAUUUUGACAAAAAAAAUCAUAUACUUUUUUUAACCGGAUGAAUAAAAGAUACCAGUGAAGUAGAUGUACACCAUUGAAGUUGUGUGUUCUUCUAUUUCAUGUUUUUUAGAAAGUAAGUGAGAACACAACUUGACAACUACAUCACAAGUAGUCUAUUUAAGGUUUCUAAACUUUAGUAUAUAUAGUUAAACAUAUAUAUUCUUGGUUCGUCAUAUGACUAUCACAAGAGUACUAGACACCAUGAUAUAUAUAUAUCACCAGGGUGCAAAAUAGUUUAUCCUUCACCCGAGAUAAUCGUACGAUCAAUUUGCAAAUAAGUUAUAUUCGAAAUAUAAAUAGUUACAUUUAUAUUGAAUCAGUACGUCAAAUUUGACCCAAAAAAAAUAUAGGUCACAAGACUAGAAAAAAUUGAAGUUUUUGUAUUUUGUGCACUAUUUUUGUAAGUUCAUAAUUUUACGUGACAUAAAAUAUUUUUACGUUGAUUAUAAUUUUUUACGGUCUUUUUUUACAUAUAAAAUAAGACAGAAUUUAUAGAACGUAAAAUUACAGUGCAUUAAUGUUAAAAUAGAAGGGGGUGAAGAAUAAUAUUCCUCACCCAGGGUGCGAACAGCGUAACCCUAUAUAUAUUGAUGAUGUUUAGGACAAAUAUGCAAGAAUGAUGCAUGGUAGACAUGAUCGGAAAUAUUUUGAUUUUGUUGGCCACUACUUUCUUUCUGUUCAAAAGUGAAUGCGUACUAAAUAUUUUGGUUGGCGGUCAAAGUUUCACGUAAGCAUCAUGGUUCUUUGGAUGGUUAAAAUUCAUACAUUAUAAUUUUCAACAUGAUUUACACCUUUGGUAAUAGAUUAACAAAUCUUCAAUUAUAAGUCAUGGAAUUUACAUGAUUUGAGCCGUUAAGUUCUGAAUCUAUUGUACGGAGAAGAUUAGACUAACCAAUUUGGUGAAGAUUUUGUCACAAGUUCGGUAGAUGAACAUUAAUUGUCAAUGGUAGGAAAAUCUACCAUGUAUAGUUAUCUGUUAAGAUGAUUUUAAUUUUUUCAUGUUAAUGAGGGAUUUGGACAUCCCUGGAACCUUGGAAAUCCAGAAUAGAUGUUAUGAAUUCAUUACAAUUGUAGUCACCUUUCUUAUUUUGUUGCAUGUAUAAAUAUUUUUUAUAUAUAAAAAGCAGAGCGAAGUGAUGUGCACGACAACUUGCAUAGGGUUGGAGAAGAAAAACAGAUUUUGCAAUUGAAAAUUUCUAGAAAGCUAAAUUGUACAGUUUCCCGUAUUUAACAUGUAGGUUAUUAUUAUUAUUUAUAAAUUUUUGAAUAUUAAUUUCUUUGUAUAAUUUUUAAUAUUACCACACAAUUAUAUAUGUGUACUAUUGCUAGAAUAUUUAUCAAAAAAUAUAAAUAAUAAUAACAUCUUCAAUACCAUAUCAAUAUUUAGAUUUCUCACUAAAUAUAAUUUCACAUCAUCUAUACAUAUAUUUUUUAAACAUUCAGGUUGUUCUGUAUAAAUUUUUGACUUAGGAAAAAUCUAAUAUCAAUGUAAAUUGAAACAAAGGAAGUAUAAAAACUAGGCCGUCCAAGCACGCCACUUAAUGAAUUUAAAUUUCUUAAGACAUAAAAUUCUAACUCUCACUCACCAUUGUAGGCUAGCCCGUGCGAAUGCACGGGUUGACGACUAGUUAACUUAAACGGUGUGAGGAUAAAUCGCCCUCGACACAAGCUGCCACUGGGGCAGGUACAAGGUUUUCCCACUCCUCAAAGUGGUUAGAAGCAUACGACCGUCCUAUGCUAGCUAGGUUAUGCGUUGCCGUGUUAGCCUCCCUACGGCACACCGUGAUCUUAUGUUUGGAGAACCACAUCUUGAGCUGAAACUUGAGGUCCUCGAUCACCGCUGCAUAUGCUAAAGCAUCCACCCGAGAAAAGUCCAUGGCCUCCUGGAGCAGUGUGCAGUCUGUCUCGAAAAGGACUCGCACUAGGCCAAGCUCGGCAGCACAUGAUAUCGCAUGUGCAAGGGCAUAUACUUCCGCCGCAAAGGCGUCAUAGACAUGAUCCUGCCUGCCCGCCCUUGCCGCAAUCACCGCUCCUUCUGCAUCGCGGGCGAUGACACCCCACCCCGAGCCCUCCUGUCCCGGAGUGACGGCCGCCACCUUUGGGGAGACAGCCCAGCUUUCGGCACGCAAUAUAUUUGCUCAUAUUGGAUAACAUUAGCCCGUGUCCGUCGAGCGACUGCCUCUACGGAUUCCGAUAGCUCCCCUUUCCUAAGCUUAUUCCGGUUAGACCACCAGAGCCACCAGAAGGUAAGGAUAAGCAUCCGUUUGUGCUCACUGAGGCUCCAGAUGUAGUCCAACAUGUGGUGCACCGAUGGAAUUUCCUGCAAUUCACGCCGUUCUGGCUCCAGCGCAAGCUCUCGCCAAACCGCCUUGGCGUUUUUGCACUUGAUAAACAGGUGUGCACCAUCCUCGUCAGCUUUACCACAGAAGAGGCAUUUUGUGUUCUCCAUUGGGAUGCCCCUCUUCUUGAGAUGUACUCGGAGAGCCAGGGAUUCGUGCUUUAACCUCCAUGCGAACAUCUGGAUGUUCCUCGGCCCUCUGAGCUUCCACAGCCGGCGCCAUGAAUCAACAGAGCGUGGGUUGAUAGGAGCCGCUGCCAUACUCGACCCCACAUCUCCUUGUGUCAAGUGUUUACGUAGCUGAACAUGUAGCUUAUAGGCGCUCUUAACGGAAUGAGCUCCUUUGCUAUCAUACUGCCAGGCCACAAAGUCCGGCACCCCUUCCCUUAGUGGGAUCUGCAUAAUAUAUCGGGCAUCAUCCUCCCAAAAGGUCUGGCGAACAAGCCUUUCAUCCCAAGAGCCAGUAGCUGGAUCAAUGAGCUCACUGACGCGCUCAAGCAGGAUGCCCCUCCGGGGAAUGAUCACUCUUCGCGACCACGGUCUCGGUAUCCAAGGAUCUUUCCAUAUGUUAACGUUCAUUCCAUCUCCAAUGCGCCAUAUGUAUCCGUCCUUGAUUAGCUCCAGUCCAUGCAGCAGGCUUCUCCAGGAGUACGAGAUGCCAGGACGUAGGGUAGCAUCAAGAACAUGAGUGUUGGGGAAGUACCGUGCCUUCAGUACCCUAGCACACAACGAUUCUGGACAUUGAAUUAGCCUCCAAAUCUGUCUGGAUAACAUUGCUAUAUUGAAACAGUCCAUGUCCCUGAAGCCCAAUCCUCCCUGAUCUUUUGGUUUUGUGAGCUUCUCCCAGCUGAUCCAAUGAAUGGUGUUUUCCUUCUCUUGCUGGCUCCACCAGUAUUUCCCCAGCAUCGAACUAAGCUCCUCACAGAAAGACUUUGUAAGAUAGAAGCAGGACAUAGCAUAGGUAGGGAUUGCUUGUGCCACGACUUUGACUAGGGUUUCCUUGCCUGGCUUCGCAAUAAGCUUUUCCUUCCAACCAUAAACCUUCCCUGCGACCGCCCCCUUGAUAUAAGCGAAGGCUUUCCUCCUGGAUCGGCCCACAUGAACCAGCAAACCCAGGUAUUUGUCGUUCCAUGUCUCACUCUGGAUCCCCAGAAUGUUCUUCACAACCAUGCGUGUGCCUUCUGCAGUAUUGGGGCUGAACAUUACAGCUGAUUUCUUUGUAUUGAUGCAUUGGCUGGAGCAACUCUCAUACAAAUCUAGAAUUUUCUUCAACACUAACGCCUCCCUCGGUUCAGCUUUCAUAAGCAGGACGGAGUCAUCAGCGAAGAAUAGAUGUGACACUGUGGGUCCCGUGCUACAUAUUUUCACCCCACUUAUCCGCCCUGCGCCCUCCGCCUCUUGGAGUAGUGCCGACAUGCCUUCUACGCAGAUGACAAACAAGUACGACGACAGAGGGUCCCCUUGGCGAAGGCCCCUUGUCGGACAGAACUGCUCUGUGAGAUCACCAUUAACCUUAAUUUGAUAUCUCACGGUGGUAACGCAGCGCAUGAUGAGCUGUACAGCCUCGUAGCCGAAGCCCAACCUGCAUAGCAUUGCUUCCAGGAAACUCCACUCGACCCGGUCAUACGCCUUGCUCAUGUCCGCCUUGACCGCCGCAAACCCUUCUUUCCCCUUAGUCUUGUGGAGGAGGUAGUCUGAAAUCUCAUAUGAGAUCAGCACAUUGUCGGUGAUAAGUCUGCCAGGUACAAAGGCACUCUGGUUGUCUGAUAUUAUCUCUGGCAGGAUCAGUUUCAUCCUGUUCGCGGUUACCUUGGACACCAACUUAUAGACCACAUUGCACAAGCUGAUGGGGCGCAAAUCCUUGAUCCUACUCGGUGAUUUAACUUUGGGAAUAAGAACAAUAAGAGUAUCAUUCCACCCUUCUGGAAUCGCGCCACCAUUGAGCACUGUUAAUACUUCCUCCACUGCUUGAUCCCCCAUGAGAUGCCAGUUCCUCUUGUACACAACGAAGGGCAUACCAUCCGGGCCAGGUGCCUUCAGAUCUCCUAUAUGAUCAAGGGCAGCUUUGAUCUCCUCUCUAGUGAAUGCAGCCGACAUGAGGGUGUUCAUCACGUGUGUUACUCGAGGUUGUACCUUGCGCAGGAGGUCCUCCAUAUGGCCCCCCAAAUUUGAAGUGAAUAAGUCAUGAAAACAGGAGCACACAUAAGUGGUUAGCUCUUCCCCCUCCUGCACUAGCGAUCCAUCCUCCCUCCUGAGCCCCUUAAUUUUAUUCUUCUUCCUCCUAGCUGAAGCCAGUGCCAUGAAAUAUUUCGUGUUUCUAUUCAUGUCCUUGAGCCAAGCGAUAUGGGACCGUUGCUUUGCUUUGAUGUGUUGCUUCUCCUCCAAGUCAUGCACUACACCCCGUAGCCUCCCCUCUUCUCGGACCUUCGACUCAGACACUGGUGCGCACAUACAUCUCUCCAGCUCUGCCUGUGCCUUCUUGAGUCUUCCUGCUAUCUCCCCUACCUCCUCCUCAUGUCAUACUCGCAUCUUGGUUGCCACUUUCCUCAGAUUCUGAGCAAGUUGCCACCUUCCGCCCUCCCUUCGUCCCAUGCCUCCUUGAUAGCUGCGGCACACCCCUCCUCCUGUAGCCACCAUGCUUCAAAACGAACCCCCUUAUCGCCUCCUUGACAUUGCCGGCGAACCCCACCCUCCGUGUUAACGAUUAACGGUCUGUGAUCCGAAUGGCGCGGCCACCCAUGCACCACGGUAAAGCCUGGAAACAUCUCACACCAUUCGGUGUUUGCUGUUGCUCGGUCUAGCCGUUCGCAUAUAUAUGAACGCGCCUCUUUGCUAUGGUUCCUCCACGUGAAUUUGUCUCCAGUAUAGCCAAUAUCACAUAGCCCGGCAUUCUCCAGCGUCUCACGAAACCUAUCCAUGCACGCCAGAGGUCUACGGCUCCCUCCCACCUUCUCUCCAUCCAGUAAGAUCUCAUUGAAAUCCCCAAAACACAUCCAUGGUCUCCCCUGUUGGUGUUGUUGCCCUAGCAAUCGCAGUGUACGCCAUGUUUCUGUUUUACGCUCCACUUCCGACUCGCCAUAUAUCCCCGUUAGCCUCCAUAUAGCACCAGAUUCUUCCAUGACAUCCACAUCAAUGUGCCGUCGACCAUACGACCGAAGUGUCACAUGUACCUCCUUCUUCCACAGUAGAGCAACCCCUCUACUCCUUCCUACCGCACUCCAUGCAACCAUGUUACCUAGCCCCAAGCGCCACUUGAACUUCUCCAAUUCCUUCUCGGUAAGCUUGGUUUCCGACAGGAAAAGGAUGCCGGGAUCCUCCAUUCUCCCCAGCUCGAGGAGACUUUGAACUGUCGGGCCAUUCCCGAGCCCCCGGCAGUUCCAUCCAGUGAGUUUCAUUGCAUUCGGCGGGGCUGUUCCAACAGCCCGGACGAUAAGUUCAAUUGUGGUGGUGCCUCAGUCUCCCCCUCCUUCACCCCGUCUACCUCCUCACACAACUCCAUUCGCCCUCGUUUUGCCUCCACUUCCUCCAGAGCCCCUUCCUUUGACCGCUUGGCUCCUGUCAGCCUACUGGUUGUAGGUCUCCUCCAUCACCCACCCUACUCUCCCGCCUAAGCCUUUUGAAUUUCCGCUGUCCAGCCUCUCUUGGUUUCCCUCCUGCUAUCUCUGCUGUGGUCGGACACUCCUCCUGCAGUGUUGUGUGGUGUUGACCUUCUUCGCCGGAGCUGCCAAGAGGCGAGAUGGCAUCAUUAUCCAUGUCCUUAGCGGCAGGGUUACUGAUCAACCGCUCAGAUGUGAGGGCCUUCCCCCCUGUUUGUUGCUUGUUACCCGGGUCUCCUCCCCCUUGCUCGACCAGCUGCAGUUUCUUGGGUUGGCCUCUCUCUCUAGCAGCAGGGGCAUUCUGCUUGACCGGGCUUGUUACUUCCUCUCCCUUCUCCGCAUCCACACUCCUCCCCUUCGUACUCCUCGAGUUCUCCUUGCGCCAAGACAGGCCAUCAUUGCCGCUCCCCAUCUUCUCCUGAGACCGGCUACUACCAAAGGGUCGUGAGACUCCUGAACCUCGGCCUCUACCCCUCCAGCUGCCAGACUCUUCCCCGUGCACCUUCCUGCGACCCAUGUCUGCCCGGAGCCAACCUCUGAAUUGCGCCCGUCUAUUCUUGUCCAGUUGCAUGUCGCACGCCCUUUCUCUAUGUCCCACCAUUCCACACACAUAACAAAAUUCAGGCAAAAACUCAUAUUCAAAUCGGCACCACGCCCCCUCUUCCUCCUCACCUCCUCCAUCGAUAUUCAUCUUCUUCUUCUGUUUCUGCCUUCCACCAUCCUCCGCAUCAUCCAGCAUAAAGCCCCUCAUGAUUGGUUUGUCUAUGUUCAUUCUGAUCUUAACUCUCAUAAAUUUCCCCAUGGCUACUCCAUCAACUCCAACAUCCGCUUCCACAAAACUACCAACGAGGUUCCCAAUCUCCUCUGCCAUUACUUCAUUCAUCAUCCCCAACGGGAGACUAAAUACCCUCAUCCAGAUGGGGAUCUCAUUGAACUCAUAGUCCUCCGGCCGCUUCCCCGGAUCAUAGUCCUCCACCACUACCAGAUCCUUCUCAAACAUCCACGGGCCAUCCUCCAACGCCCUUCGUUUCCCCGAUUCCUGGUGGAACGUGAACACAAACAAGUUCUCCCCCACCUCCUUGCAUUCGAUGCCUUUGAUCGGACACCACACACGCCCCAACGACAGCCGGAUCGCGUCGGGGUGAGCCAGCUUCUCCGGCAAGACUUUCCCUACCGCCCGUGCCACCGGGAUCUUCCCCCUCUCCUUCCCCGACACCCUGAUCUUGACUCCACGUCGUUCUUCCUCCGUCAACCGCAGCCCCCGCAUCAGCCCAUCAACCGCCUCCAUCUCCCUUCGCACUCCUGGUCUGGCCCGAAUUAGGGUUUAAGGUGGUGUACGACCGUGCGACCCCAGGCACACAGAAGGCUGUGAGAUGGUGAUGGGGUCUACUCUCGCCGGGACGAGGGUGGCAGGCACUCCGCUGCAGAUCAGAGAUCCCGUCGUCGACCUAGCCAGGCCUCGCCCGAACCCGAACCGUGAUCGCCUCCGUGAUAUUCGGAGCACCCUAACCGCCACACCAGGGGCGGACUUACAGCAACCUGAUGUAAACGUGUUGAUACCUCAGGAAUAUAAUGUCUUCGACUAAUCUAGAGAUGGAACCGUGGGGUGGUCCUUGCCAGUUUUAACCAUUGUUGAUUUUACUUUUUGAAAAACCGACCUUGCUAAGAGCAUCUCCAACAGACGCGCGAUUUUAGCGCUGUGCUGGAAAAAAAAUCAUUUUUUGUGCGUGGAGUAAAACGACAUCGCUCGUCGUUUAUUUCGUGCGCUCGCUCCCGUGCGCUGGACACUCGAGCGCCCGCGACCCACUUCUGCCACCCUCUUCGGUCGCCCCGCCCAUGUCGCCGCUGGCGAAAUUCAAUGGAUGGAAGGCCGCGCCGACGUCCCCCCACCCCUCCCUACACUCGCGACCCCUCUGCCGGUGUCGUUGGCGCAAACCCUAGCGCGGGGUUGAACUUCGGCUUCGCCGCCGCCGGCCCUCCUCCAAGCACCGGCCUCGCGCGCGGCCUUUUCAUGGCGCCACAGAUGACCUCGGCGGGUGGAGUCGCGCCGACGCCUGUCGUGAAGCCACGUGACCCCCUCUCCAAGCGACCAAAUGCGACGGUGGUGAAGGAGAGGAUGGUGGCAUUGGAAGAGAAUAAAUUGGCCAUGAAGGAGCGAUCUAGAUUGUUGGAAUGGGAGAAGAACUUGUUCUUCAUGUACACAUCUACGCUCGAUGAGAAGCAAAAGGAGUACGCCAAUCUUGUCUGUGAGGAAGUCUUGGUCCAAAAAAGAGCCAUGGCCACGGGAGGCAUGAGAGCUACCAUGGGAGGCAUGGGUGUCAUGGGUGGCUUUGGAGCUACCAUGCGAGGUCUCCGAGCAUCUACGGGAGGCAUCGAUGGUAUGGUGGCUUCGGAGCUACCAUGGGUGGCAUGGGAGACAUGUGUGGCUUCGGAGCUACCAUGGGUGGCAUGGGAGACAUGUGUGGCUUCAGAGCUACCAUGGGUGGCAUGGGAGGCAUGUGUGGCUUCAGAGCUAUCAUGGGUGGCAUGGGAGGCAUGUGUGGCUUCGGAGCUACCAUGGGUGGGUUUGGAGCUACCAUGGGAGGCAUGAGUUUUGGGUCUCUCAUGGGAGGCAUGAGUUUUGGGUCUCUCAUGGGAGGCAUGUGAGCACCUCCGGGUCACAUGGAUGGAUACAUAUCUUUCGGAUUGCCUCACAUACCUUCACAUGAUGCAACGCGCGACAAUGAAGAGGAGGAGGAAGAAUCGUCUUCGGAUAAGGAUGAAGAAGAGGAGGAUUGUUGAUGUGUCAUUUGUUUGUGUGAACUUUUGUGUCAUGAACUUGGUUGGGUGAUUUUAGACUUGGUUGAAUGAUGAUGUGGCAUGAUUGUUGAUGUGCCGUACAAUUAAACUAUGUUGUGUCUUUAUUUUGCACAUUCGUUUAAUAUUUGAAACAUCAUCAUAUUAUCAAAAUGGACAUGUAAAAUCUUAUUCGCAAGUGCCGGCUGCUCGCGCGUGCUGUAGUUAGCGCGCCUGCUGGAGCUGCUCGCGCGCGUCAUAUUUAUAGCGGUCGCUGGAGCCAAUGCUCUACCGCGCGGAAAAAAUAGCUAUUUCCGCGUCCAAAAAAGGUAUUAGCGUGCCUGUUGGAGUUGCUCUAAAUCUCACACAUGUGACACGAACACAUGGCAAGUCUGAGAGUUUUUAUGACAAGUUUAAUGAUACGAGGAUGACAAGCAUGACAACUUCCUUUAUAGAUGGAAAGUUUUAUUUUCUUAGGGUUUUACUUUUUUGAAUGACAACUUUAGUUGUGAAAAAUGUCAGGACGGGAGUGUUUCGUGCCACAUGUGUGACAUUUAUCAUUUAGAUGAAAAAAAACAGAGUUGAAUAUGAUCUUUUGAAAAAAGAGGUUGAUUCUUUUUUAUGUGAAUAGUAUCUGUAUUACUCAAUCACCAGGAUCACAACGCAUAGUUUUGGUCACGCUUUAUGUCACUAAUACAAGUCUGACGGUUGCUCAGCAGAGCUUUAGUCUUCUCUACUACUGUUAUGUGUGCAGAAAGAUCUUUCGCUGCAUCUGUGUGGUCUAUAAUAAGAUAAACAAUUUCAUUUUUUUGAGUUUAUAUUAGUAUAAAGUUAUACUAAGCUUAAGAUACUUAUUUUGAGACGGAGAGAGUAUUUUAUUGGUCAAUAAAGCUGAUGAUUUUAUGUGAAAAGUGGUAGUCAAGUUACAUUUUGAAAACUUUUCAGGUAUUUCUCAGACUCUUUGGGUAAAAACCAUGCAUUUGGUCUUCCCGAUAGUUGUUCGGUAUUGCCUCUGCUAACUUUCAAAUGAUGUUUACAUAGGUAAUAGGGAUUUACAGAUAAAUAAACAGUCUGUAGUAAAUCCAAACAAAAAGCACCAGUGGUCUAGUGGUAGAAUAGUACCCUGCCACGGUACAGACCCGGGUUCGAUUCCCGGCUGGUGCAUUCCUUUUUGUAUUUUUUAUUAUGCACAUGUCAUGGGAUGACAUGGAAGGAUUUUAGUACAGCCUUUAGUAUUUGUACAUGUUCCAUUUUAAGCGGAUUCUUGAUUUGUUUUGUUAGUCUUCCACCCAAAAGAUGAGUGAUUUGGCACAAGAUAUAUCUGUGCACGUAUAAACUUGAUAUUUAAAAUCAUUUUCCGCAUCGAGAAAUAGAAUAGAGCCUAGUUAUCUUGAGUUGACAGGGAAAUAUUUGAAACAUGGCGGUUCCAGCCUUACAUUUACAUACUUUACAUUUGUUUCUUAACUGCUUGUUAAUUUGUUUUGUUCGUAUUCCACCCAAAAUUCGAGUGACUUGGCACAAGAUAUAUUUGUCUGCAUGUAAAAACUUGAUAUGUAAAUCAGUUUGUACAUCGAGAAACAAAUAUAACCUAAUUAUUUCGUGAGAGUAAUUUUGGCCAUAUUUGUGAACGAUAUUGUUUCUUUGUGUUAAAUGACAUUUUUUUAAGAAUAGUAUAGUACUAGUUCCUUUUCCUUUUCUUUUUCUACCUUCUGGAUUGUCAUUUCAAGUAUAGCUCCUAUUGAUCUUCUUGUGGCAGAAUAUAUAGCUCAAAUAAUAAAUAUUCUCUUUCUCCCACUAGGUAGUACUGGCACCUCUUCAUCUGAAUCGGAUAUGUCAUCAUCAUCUGGAAAGCAAAAUUCAUCCUGGG
rnacentral:lncRNA from 1 species